rnacentral:rRNA from 1 species
UCGGGGGUAUAGCACUGAAUUGGCUAGGGGGCUUACCAGCUUACCAAACCAUAUCAAACUCAGAAUACCGAUGAGUAUAACUAGGCAGUGAGACUGCGGAUGCUAAGGUCCGUAGUCGAAAGGGAAAGAGCCCAGACCGUCAGCUAAGGUCCCUAAAUCAUAUCUAAGUGGGAAAGGUUGUGAGAUUACUUUGACAUCCAGGAGGUUGGCUUAGAAGCAGCCAUCCUUUAAAGAAAGCGUAAUAGCUCACUGGACUAGUGAUUUUGCGCCGAAAAUGUAACGGGGCUAAAGAUAUGUACCGAAGCUACGGACUAAUUUAUUAGUGGUAGAAGAGCAUUGUGUUUACCGACGAAGGCGUACUGAUAAGGAGCGCUGGAGGUCCCACAAGAGCUGAUGGCGACAUGAGUAGCGAUAAGGAGUGUGAGAAUCACUCCCGCCGAAAAUCUAAGGGUUCCUGGGCCAGGUGACUCCGCCCAGGGUAAGUCGGAUCCUAAGGUGAGGCCGAAAGGCGUAAUCGAUGGGUAACAGGUUAAUAUUCCUGUACUUAGUAUUGUUCGUUUGACUUAAGGAAUGACGGAGAAAGGUAGCGGAUCCACCUGUUGGAUGGUGGUUUAAGCAUGUAGGGGGGCGUUUUAGGAAAAUCCGGAACGCUGUUAACUCUGAGAUGUGAUGACGAGGGCGUAGCCCGAAGUUCGUGAUCCUCUGCUUCCAAGAAAAGUUUCGUAAGGAGAACAGUAUUAAUCCGUACCGUAAACCGACACAGGUAGAUGAGGAGAGAAUCCUCAGGCGUUUGGGGUAACUCUAGUUAAGGAACUCUGCAAAUUGGUGCCGUAACUUUGGGAGAAGGCACGCCCUUGAUGGUGACAUCACUUGCUGAUGAAGCUGUUGAGGGCCGCAGUGAAAAGGGGGUAGCGACUGUUUAUCAAAAACAUAGGUCUCUGCAAACUCGUAAGAGGAAGUAUAGGGACUGACGCCUGCCCGGUGCUGGAAGGUUAAGAGGAGAGGUUAGGGUAACCGAAGCUUUGAAUCGAAGCCCCAGUAAACGGCGGCCGUAACAAUAACGGUCCUAAGGUAGCGAAAUUCCUAGUCGGGUAAGUUCCGACCUGCACGAAUGGCGUAACGACUUCCCCACUGUCUCAACUAGAGUCCCAGCGAAAUUGGAGUGCGCGUGCAGAUACGCGCUACCCGCGGAAGGACGAAAAGACCCCGUGAACCUUUACUGUAGCUUGGCAUUGGGUUUUGAGUAACAAUGCGUAGGAUAGGUGGGAGCUUUUGAUGCGUGCGUUCUGGCGUACGUGGAGGCAUCCUUGAAAUACCACCCUUUGUUACUUGGAAUCCUAACCUACGAUCGUAAU